rnacentral:rRNA from 1 species
AGUGAACGCUGGCGGCGUGCCUAAUACAUGCAAGUCGAACGGAGUGGCGCACGGGUGAGUAAUAUAUAGCUAAUCUGCCCCUUGCUGGAGGACAACAGUUAGAAAUGACUGCUAAUACUCCAUAGAAAGGGAUGAGACUAUAUCUUAUCAGCUAGUCGGUGGGGUAACGGCCUACCGAGGCGAUGACUCGUAACUGGUCUGAGAGGAUGAUCAGACACAUUGGAACUGAGACACGGUCCAAACUCCUACGGGAGGAAGCAGUAGGGAAUAUUGCGCAAGGGGGGAGACCCUGACGCAGCAACGCCGCGUGAAGGAUGACACGUUGCGAAGAGGAAACUCCUGUUAUUAAAGAAGCGUUACCUAACGAAUAAGCACCGGCUAACUCCGUGCCAGCAGCCGCGGUAAUAC